rnacentral:rRNA from 1 species
ACGAACGCUGGCGGCGUGCUUCACACAUGCAAGUCGAACGGAAAGGCCCUGCUUUUGUGGGGUGCUCGAGUGGCGAACGGGUGAGUAACACGUGAGUAACCUGCCCUUGACUUUGGGAUAACUUCAGGAAACUGGGGCUAAUACCGGAUAGGAGCUCCUGCUGCAUGGUGGGGGUUGGUAAGUUUCGGCGGUUGGGGAUGGACUCGCGGCUUAUCAGCUUGUUGGUGGGGUAGUGGCUUACCAAGGCUUUGACGGGUAGCCGGCCUGAGAGGGUGACCGGCCACAUUGGGACUGAGAUACGGCCCAGACUCCUACGGGAGGCAGCAGUGGGGAAUAUUGCACAAUGGGCGGAAGCCUGAUGCAGCAACGCCGCGUGCGGGAUGACGGCCUUCGGGUUGUAAACCGCUUUCGCCUGUGACGAAGCGUGAGUGACGGUAAUGGGUAAAGAAGCACCGGCUAACUACGUG